AAUAUUGAAUUUUCUAAUAACCUUGACAUAACCUUGACAUAACCAUGCCCAUAGAACAGUUGAAUGGAAUACUUUUCAAUAUCAUGUCACCGAUCGCACGUGAAAUGUCAUCUACAGAAGAGCACAAUAUCAGUUUACAAUGAUUGGCAAAAGGAGCUGCUACAAUGAUUUCUUUGUGGAAGAAACAUUAGGUUUUUCAGUCGUGUACAACAAAAACUGGAUAUCAAGAAAACUGAAAGAGGAAAGAUGCGCACGCAGCAGUUUCUUACAGACUCAGAGCUAGCUGCAAAACGUAAAAUAGUUAGGCAACAGAAAAAAGAAGAAAGCUAGAAAGAGGAUAGCGACUACCAUGAGAGAGAAAAAAGUAGUGAAAAAAACGUCCGAAAAGAAGAAGUCGAUUUGGACAUCAUAUGAGCCAUUUACUUUGAAAGUGGCAUAAGUCACUUUACU